CCUGGCUCUAAAUUUGGGAUGCAGGGUUCCUAUGUAAUUGAUAUGCAUCAAUUACAUGGGAACCUUGCACCCCAAAUUUAGAGCCAGGGCUA